GCAUAUCAAUAAGCGGAGGAAAAGAAACUAACAAGGAUUCCCCUAGUAACGGCGAGUGAAGCGGGAUGAGCUCAAAUUUGUAAUCUGGUGGACUCAGUUCAUCCGAGUUGUAAUCUAUAGAAAAGUUUUCCGCGCCGGACCGUGUCUAAGUCCCUUGGAACAGGGUGUCAGAGAGGGUGAGAAUCCCGUGCUUGAUACGACCACCGGUGCUAUGUGAUACUUUUUCAACGAGUCGAGUUGUUUGGGAAUGCAGCUCAAAAUGGGUGGUAAAUUCCAUCUAAAGCUAAAUAUUGGCGAGAGACCGAUAGCGAACAAGUACCGUGAGGGAAAGAUGAAAAGCACUUUGGAAAGAGAGUUAAACAGUACGUGAAAUUGUUAAAAGGGAAACGAUUGAAGUCAGUCGUGCUCUCUGGGACUCAGCCGGUUCUUCCGGUGUAUUUCCCAGUGAGCGGGUCAACAUCAGUUUAGAUCGCUGGAUAAGGUCAUUAGGAAUGUGGCUCCCUCGGGAGUGUUAUAGCCUAGUGUCGCAUACAGUGGUUUAGACUGAGGAACGCAGCUCGCCUUUAUGGCCGGGGUUCGCCCACGUCCGAGCUUAGGAUGUUGACAUAAUGGCUUUAAACGACCCGUCUUGA
rnacentral:rRNA from 1 species